rnacentral:rRNA from 1 species
CUACGGGUCGCUGCAGUGGGGAAUAUUGGACAAUGGGGGCAACCCCGAUCCAGCAAUGCCACGUGUGUGAAGAAGGCCUGAGGGUUGUAAAGCACUUUUAUCAGCGAGGAAGGUUGUUAGGUUAAGAGCUAAGCAGCUUGACGUUAGCUGAAGAAAAAGCACCGGCUAACUCCGUGCCAGCAGCCGCGGUAAUACGGAGGGUACAAGCGUUAAUCGGAAUUACUGGGCGUAAAGCGCGCGUAGGCGGCUAGAUCAGUCGGGUGUGAAAGCCCCGGGCUUAACCUGGGAACUGCAUCCGAUACUGUCUAGCUUGAGUACAGGAGAGGAGAGUGGAAUUCCACAUGUAGCGGUGAAAUGCGUAGAUAUGUGGAGGAACACCAAUGGCGAAGGCAGCUCUCUGGCCUGAUACUGACGCUGAGGUGCGAAAGCGUGGGGAGCAAACAGGAUUAGAUACCCCAGUAGUC